ACAGAACUCAGCUGUCAGCUGCCAUGAACCUACAGUGCCUCUCCUCUCUGCUGCUCUGUGUCGUUUGCAGUGCAGUUUCCACCAAUACGACAGCUGCUGCUCACACACCUGCACUGGAUCAUGUGACCGUGAUGUCUUCAUCUGGGGAGGGGCUUCAGAGGGCUGUGGGUGAAGAUUUGGAAUCUGAUGAUGAUCAGGAUCCAUCAGGAAUGUUCAGUGUUCCAACUUCGUUUAAAGUAACCCAAGUCAGUAAAGGAGACGAGCAGAAUCACAAGCGCGCUGGGCGCAAAAAGAACAAAGGAAGAAGAAAGAAUAAAAAUAUCACUCCUGUUCAGCCGAAUCAUACGCUCAGUCACAGGAGACACAGCACCACCGCUGACCCCUGCCUGACCUCUCACGUGGACUACUGCAUCCACGGCCACUGCACGUACCUGCGCAGCCUGAGAGAGCCUGUCUGUGUGUGAGUGACACUUACCUACAGAAGCUUGUUUCCACCACGGAAUAAGAAAUAAAA
rnacentral:lncRNA from 1 species